UACGUAGGCAGCGAGCGUUGUUCGGAGUUACUGGGCGUAAAGGGUGUGUAGGCGGUUGUUUAAGUUUGGUGUGAAAUCUCCCGGCUCAACUGGGAGGGUGCGCCGAAUACUGAAUGACUAGAGUGCGGGAGAGGUGAGUGGAAUUCCUGGUGUAGCGGUGAAAUGCGUAGAUAUCAGGAGGAACACCGGUGGCGAAGGCGGCUACCUGGACAGAAACUGACGCUGAGGCACGAAAGCUAGGGGAGCAAACAGG
rnacentral:rRNA from 1 species